ACUUUGUGGAAAUAGUUUAAAAAUCUCUCGACUAUCUUUUCAAAAUCACUCACCUUGUGGCUAACACAUGAUUAAUACUUGAUUCCAAAUCAAGCAAGAAGGAAUCCUUGAGAACAAGCUAUCCUUUAAUAAAGUGUUAUAAUAUGGUGUAUCUAUUUCCACAUGUGUGUGUUUGCAUGUGCCUAUGUGUAAUGCAGGAUUUUUUUUUUUUUUUUUUUUUUUUUUUUUUUUUGAGACAGAGUCUCGCUCUGUAGCCCAGGCUGGAGUGCAGUGGUGCGAUCUCGUCUUACUGCAAGCUCCACCUCCCAGGUUCACACCAUUCUCCUGCCUCAGCCUCCCAAGUAGCUGGGACUACAGGUGCCUGCCACCACGCCUGGCUAAAUUUUUGUGUUUUUAUUUUUAGUAGAGAUGGGGUUUCACCGUGUUAGCCAGGAUGGUCUCGAUCUCCUGACCUCG
rnacentral:lncRNA from 10 species